UAUUAAAGUUGUUGCGGUUAAAAAGCUCGUAGUUGGAUUUCUGCAUGGAAGAAGCGGUCCACCCUUUGGGUGAGUUACUGCUACCCUUUGUGCAUCUUUCUGAGAAGGCGUUCUUCUCUUCAUUGAGAGGCCGCAUGACUCAGAACGUUUACUUUGAGGAAAUGAGAGUGUUUCAAUCAGGCAAAUGCCUUGAAUACGUUAGCAUGGAAUAAUAGCAUCGGACCAUCGUCCAGCUGUUGGUGUCUGGGCGAAGGUAAAGGUGAAUAGGGAUUGUUGGGGGCAUUCGUAUUUAACUGUCAGAGGUGAAAUUCUUGGAUUUGUUGAAGACGGACUACUGCGAAAGCAUCUGCCAAAGAUGUUCUCAUUGAUCAAGAACGAAAGUUAGGUGAUCGAAGACGAUCAGAUACCGUCCUAGUCUUAACCAUAAACUAUGCCGACUGGAGAUAGGAAGCGUUUAUUUACCGACUCUUUCUGCAUCUUGAGAGAAAUCAAAGUCUUUGGGUUCCGGGGGGAGUAUGGUCGCAAGGCUGAAACUUAAAGGAAUUGACGG
rnacentral:rRNA from 1 species